GUGUCAACUCUGUAUUCCUGUGGUUGAGGUUCAAACUUCACACUCGGGUUUCAAGCCUGUUACCUACAGACAGAAGGCAUGGCGAGAUUCAAAGAGAGGAUCACAGCAAGUCAAUGGAAGAUCACGAAGCAAUCUCAUCUUGGAUUGUAUUUUGAAUUUGAUUAUGUUAGAAAUGACUCUCUGUAAGGACUCAUCUCCAUGUGACUCCUGGCCCUGCUUCCAUCAAGCCUUCAGCAAUCUUGUGGCUUUCCUGGGAUGCUUCUACACAAACUGCUUUGACUUAUCCCCAUUCUGUAUGGCUUUAAUUCAGCCCAAUGGUAUUUAACACUGGUUUCACUGCAAGAAUUAAAUAUGUCUUCUGUCA